rnacentral:rRNA from 1 species
CCUACGGGAGGCUGCAGUGAGGAAUAUUGGUCAAUGGGCGCGAGCCUGAACCAGCCAAGUAGCGUGAAGGAUGACUGCCCUACGGGUUGUAAACUUCUUUUAUAUAGGAAUAAAGUGUGGCACGUGUGCCUUUUUGUAUGUACCUUAUGAAUAAGGAUCGGCUAACUCCGUGCCAGCAGCCGCGGUAAUACGGAGGAUGCGAGCGUUAUCCGGAUUUAUUGGGUUUAAAGGGUGCGCAGGCGGCUGGUUAAGUCAGUGGUAAAAGCUGGGGGUUCAACCGAGACGUGCAGUUGAAACUGGCAGUCUUGAGUAGGAUAGAGGUAGGCGGAAUGCGUGGUGUAGCGGUGAAAUGCUUAGAUAUCACGAAGAACCCCGAUUGCGAAGGCAGCGCACUGG